AUGAACUCUCAAAAGCCCGAAGCAGCAUUUUAGCCAGAUUAGCAUGCUACGCUAAAAAAUGCUAACGUUGCUCAAAGUUAACCAGAUACCUCAGGAGACCCAUUAGAGUCAAUAGAAACGUGUUAGCAUUUUAGCUAAUUAGCAUGCUAAGCUAAUUAGCAUAAAUCAACAAGCACAGGCACGGUCAACUUCAGAGCUGUACAUGUCAGGAACGGGAGCGAAUAUCAAAAAUCUGUUCAGUCAUUUCUGUCAGGCCCGGUCUGAAGUUCAUCUGAUAAAAUUAUGGACAAAAUUGAACAAGAUUUCAGGGAGGAGUAGCGAAAAAACUGUAUUUCAUUCCAUUCAAUAUGGCGGACAGACGCCAUGUUGGAAAAUGACAAUUGAGACAUCAUCAGAUUCAGCAUAACCAAAGGAAUAAAAUGACAUAAAAAUAACAAAAAUCGAUCAACAUUUACAGUAGUUAUAAGGGGUUUUGCAAUAAUCGUUAUAUCUCUUGAACACUAGGUGGCACUGUCUUCUAACUUCCGGGGUACCUCUUGGAUAUGGUGUUGAUGAUGCCUAUCGAUUUUUGUGAAGAUAUGUACAGUAGAUCAAAAGAUAUAGCAAUUUAUGACAAAAUUUAAAAUGGCGGACGGGUGGUCCUAGUGGUCUUGACAAAAUUGACAUCCACAGAUUCGGAAUGACCUAAAGAAUCCAUAGACAUCAAGAAAAUAAUUUUCUGAUGAAUUGUUCAGAAGUUAUAAGCAAAAAAGUGCAUUUUUGGUAUCUCAUCACCCAUAGGUGGCGCUAUUGCCAAAUUUGGCAUGGACCCCCAGAUCAUGGUGUAGAUGAAGUGUAUCAAGUUUGGUUUCGAUUGAUCAAAGUUUGGCCGAGAUACAGCAUCUCAACCGAUUUUAGGUCAACCUCAUUAAGUUUACAAUGGAAUAACUUUUGAACAAAGACGAAAAUCAAAAAUCUGUUCAGUCAUUUCUGUGCGGCUCAGUCCAAAGAACAUCUGAGACAAAUUUCAGAAGAAUUGGACCAAUUUUGAAGGAGGAGUAGUGUUUAGACUGAAUACUGUACUUUUCAAAAUGGCCGCUACUGUAAUGGGCGGAGUCUUAAUGUAAGAUAUGGAAUGGAAUCUCCAUGAAGAGACAAAACAGAUGUAGUAAGUUUUAUUUUCAUAGAAUAAGUGGUUCAAGAGUUAUUAACGUUUGAAUGUUGAAUUUUUGAACUGGUGGUGGCGCUGUAGAGUUGGUCCUAGAGACCCCAAAGUUGGUCAGAUCACUAAUAAUGGUCAUCUCUACAAGUGUGCCAAAUUUCAUCAUUUUCCCAUGUUCCCUUCAUAGGGCUGCCAUAGACUCCCAUUGGAGAAGAAGAAGAAUAAUAAUAAUAAUAAUAAUAAUAAUAAAGAAAACGUACAGAUACAAUAGGGGCUACAGCCCUCUGGGCUUGGCCCCUAAAUAUAGCUGCAAGCAGCGAUACCGGGGCCAAGCCCUGAAGGGCUGUAGCCAGAGCAACGAGCGGGACGAAGCAAAACGGCCAAAACGGAACUUACAUCGGAUCGACGUUACCCACCCCGGAUUCGAUCCCACGCCCUCUCGGGUUCGGGACGAGUGCCUUAGCUAAGUGUGCCACAUUAGUUGACACACUGUUUGCAUGGCACAGAAGAGAGCUUAAGGUGUGAGAAUGAACUCUCAAAAGCCCGAAGCAGCAUUUUAGCCAGAUUAGCAUGCUACGCUAAAAAAUGCUAACGUUGCUCAAAGUUAACCAGAUACCUCAGGAGACCCAUUAGAGUCAAUAGAAACGUGUUAGCAUUUUAGCUAAUUAGCAUGCUAAGCUAAUUAGCAUAAAUCAACAAGCACAGGCACGGUCAACUUCAGAGCUGUACAUGUCAGGAACGGGAGCGAAUAUCAAAAAUCUGUUCAGUCAUUUCUGUCAGGCCCGGUCUGAAGUUCAUCUGAUAAAAUUAUGGACAAAAUUGAACAAGAUUUCAGGGAGGAGUAGCGAAAAAACUGUAUUUCAUUCCAUUCAAUAUGGCGGACAGACGCCAUGUUGGAAAAUGACAAUUGAGACAUCAUCAGAUUCAGCAUAACCAAAGGAAUAAAAUGACAUAAAAAUAACAAAAAUCGAUCAACAUUUACAGUAGUUAUAAGGGGUUUUGCAAUAAUCGUUAUAUCUCUUGAACACUAGGUGGCACUGUCUUCUAACUUCCGGGGUACCUCUUGGAUAUGGUGUUGAUGAUGCCUAUCGAUUUUUGUGAAGAUAUGUACAGUAGAUCAAAAGAUAUAGCAAUUUAUGACAAAAUUUAAAAUGGCGGACGGGUGGUCCUAGUGGUCUUGACAAAAUUGACAUCCACAGAUUCGGAAUGACCUAAAGAAUCCAUAGACAUCAAGAAAAUAAUUUUCUGAUGAAUUGUUCAGAAGUUAUAAGCAAAAAAGUGCAUUUUUGGUAUCUCAUCACCCAUAGGUGGCGCUAUUGCCAAAUUUGGCAUGGACCCCCAGAUCAUGGUGUAGAUGAAGUGUAUCAAGUUUGGUUUCGAUUGAUCAAAGUUUGGCCGAGAUACAGCAUCUCAACCGAUUUUAGGUCAGCCUCAUUAAGUUCACAAUUGAAUAACUUUUGAACAAAGACGAAAAUCAAAAAUCUGUUCAGUCAUUUCUGUGCGGCUCAGUCCAAAGAACAUCUGAGCCAAAUUUCAGAAGAAUUGGACCAAUUUUGAAGGAGGAGUAGUGUUUAGACUGAAUACUGUACUUUUCAAAAUGGCCGCUACUGUAAUGGGCGGAGUCUUAAUGUAAGGUGUGGAAUGGAAUCUCCAUGAAGAGACAAAAUAGAUGUACUAAGUUUGAUUUUCAUAGAAUAAGUGGUUCAAGAGUUAUUAACGUUUGAAUGUUGAAUUUUUGAACUGGUGGUGGCGCUGUAGAGUUGGUCCUAGAGACCCCAAAGUUGGUCAGAUCACUAUUAAUGACCAGUUCUACAAGUGUGCCAAAUUUCAUCAUUUUCCCAUGUUCCCUUCAUAGGGCUGCCAUAGACCCCCAUUGGACGAGAAGAAGAAGAAGAAGAAUAAUAAUAAUAAUAAUAAUAAUAAUAAUAAAACAUACAGAUACAAUAGGGGCUACAGCCCUCUGGGCUUGGCCCC